rnacentral:rRNA from 1 species
AACCAGCACCUCAAGUGGUCAGGAUGAUUAUUGGGCCUAAAGCAUCCGUAGCCUGUUCUGUAAGUUUUCGGUUAAAUCUAUGCGCUCAACGUAUAGGCUGCCGAAAAUACUGCAGAACUAGGGAGUGGGAGAGGUAGACGGUACUCGGUAGGAAGGGGUAAAAUCCUUUGAUCUAUUGAUGACCACCUGUGGCGAAGGCGGUCUACCAGAACACGUUCGACGGUGAGGGAUGAAAGCUGGGGGAGCAAACGGG